CCCGGCUCAAGUGAUCCUCCCACCUCAGACUCCCAAAGUGCUGAGAGUACAGGCAUGAGCCACAGUACCCAGCCAUAUGCAUAUAUUGAGCAAAUAUCUGUUUUUAUUCCUUAUUUCUUUAUAAUACAACAUAAGACAUAUUGACUUUACAUCAACAUUUAAGUACUGUUAAUUUUACAUCAUAGUAUUUAAGUUAUGGGAUAUCAGGAAAAGAGUAAAUAUCACCCAAGAACUUCACCUUCUCUUCUCGGGAUGGGAUUAAUGCAUUUCUCAUUGUACAUAGGAUAGUUGCAUCAUGGUAGGCAGAAAUAAUACCUUGCUAUUAUCUUUAUUUUGAGAUUAAAUAUGGUUUACAGAGAUGCAUAUGGGUGCCAAGUUGAUAAGAGGUGGACUUGUGAUGCUUAAUUUUAGGUGUCAAUUUGACUGGAUUAAGGAAUACCUAUAGAACUGGUGAAGCAUCACUUCUGGGUGUGUCCAUGAGGGUGUUUCUGGAGGAGAUUGGAAUGUGAGUCUGUGGAUUGAGUGGGGGAGAUCAAUGCAGGAAGGCACCAUCCAAUCAGCUGGGGUCUCAGAACAAAGAAGACAGAGAAAAGGGCCGGGUGCGGUGACUCAUGCCUGUAAUCCCAGCACUUUGGGAGGCGAAGUGGACGGAUCACGAGGUCAGGAGUUCGAGACCAGCCUGAUCAACAUGAUGAAACCCCAUCUCUACUAAAAAUACAAAAAUUAGCCGGACGUGAUGGCGCGUGCAUGUAAUCCUCGCUAUUCAGGAGGCUGAGGCAGGAGAAUCAUUUGAACCCAGGAGGCAGAGGUUGCAGUGAGCCGAGAUCAGUCACUGCACUCCAGCUCUGAGUCUCCAGAGUGAGACUCCAUCAAAAAAAAGAAAGAAAAGAAAAAGAAAAGGCGAUUUCUUUUCUCUCUCUCGCUCUCCUGGAGCUUGAGACACUCUUCUGACCUUGGACAUUAGAACUCCAGGACUUGCACCAGCAGCCUCACAUGUUCUCAGGCCUUUGGCCCCAGACAGAAUUACACUAUUGGCUUCCCUGGUUCUGAGGCUUUCACACUUGGAGAGAGCCACGCUACGGACAUCCCAGGGUCUCCAGCUUGCAGAUGGCAUGUCCUGGGACUUCUCAGCCUCCAUAAUCACAUGAGCUAAUUCCCUAAUAAAUCCCCUGUCAUCUCUCUGUCUAUACUAUUAGUCCUGUCUCUCUGGAGAACUCUAAGAAAAUGAAUCUAUACUUUAAUCAAGAAUAUGAAAGCUACAGCUGUGAGGCAAGAUUCUUUGAAUCAGGAAACAAGAAGACUUGAGUUUUCAGCUAUACCACUUACUGAUAAAGUAAGAAUGUUAGAAUUAGAAGAAACAUUAGAGACACCACAGUGAUGUUAUCUUCCAGCCCAAACUCAGUGGUUUUUAUAAGCUCAUAAACCAAACAUGAAAAUGCAUUUUAUUACUUUACAGCCACAACUGAAAAGUUCCUGCCCUCAACGUGAAUAAUUUCUCUUAGAUAUUUCACUUUGAGGAAGGUGAUUUAUAUUUAUGAUUUCUCUGUCUUACUUAAAUGAGGGCCAAAUUUGUUUUGAGAGCAAGUAAUAGCUUCAGUUGAAGCUGUGCAGCAAGGUGGCUCUCCUCUAGCCCUGGGAGGUUUCCAACAAGCCAAGGUUUCUUCUCAGCUAGGGUUGCCAGACUGAGCAAAUGUAAAUGUAGCAAAUGGAAAUAUAAAAUGUAAAAUGUUUAGAAAAAAAACAGGAGAAAAUCUCCAGGAACUAGGGGUAAACAAUGAGUUCUUAGAGACUUUACACCAAAAUCUCCAUCCUUUAAAGGAAAAAAUGAUAAACUGGACAUCAUCAGAAUUAAAAACUUUACUCUGUGAAAGACUCUCUUAAGAGGAUGAAAAGACAAGCUACAGACUGGGAUAAAAUAUUUGCAAACUACAUAUCUGACAAAGGUCUAGUAUCUAGAAAACAGAGAACUCUCAAAACUCACUAAUGAAAAGACAAAAAAAAAUUAGAGCUAAAUCUUGGUUUCUACUACCAUUCUUCAAUUAGAGGACACAGGACUCCUUGGAGAAAUAACUGAUUCUUGGACUGGAAUAGGAAAAAUACAGGAUGAGCCUGGAGCAUCUCACAGUAGCAGAAAGUUUAGAAGGGCUUAAAAAAAAAAACCCACAAAACGAUGGGUGUAUGUCAGAAGGAUAAUGGAAUCAAUGAAAAGAGCUUCCAGUGGCCAAAGUGGAACAAUUUGAGCAACAAAAUGAAUAAGGUAGCAUUAGAGCAUAACCCAAAGUAUAAAAUAAAUAUCCAUGAGUCCAUACUCAAUAAACAAGAGAUUAGGUCAAUCUUCCUUGUAGGGAAAUUCCAAAUAAUUUAUGUAGAUAUUCCACUCCCAAGGAGAUGAAGAAUAAGUUCCACACUCCUUAAGUGUACAGCUGUGUAUAGUGACUUUCUUCCAGCGUAUAGUGUGAAAAAUGGACAAAAAAGACUAACUGUAUAGUGAAGAAGUCUGACCAACACUACCUCAGCCAGGUGAUUAAGGUUAAUGUUAACAGUACAAGUCAUGUUGAUAGCAUAUGCCCGUGAUAUGAUUGAUGAGAAGGGUAAGUCGCCUCUGUGGUCUUCCUCCCCAAAACCCAUAGCCCCCAUCUAAUUAUGAGAAAAACAGACAAAUCCCAAUAGAGGGAUGUCCUAAAAAAUUACUUUGCCAGUACUCGGCAAAACUGUCAAGGUCAUCAAAAACAAGGAAAGCCUAAGAAAGUGUCAAAGCCAAGAGGCCCCUGAGACAUGAUGACCAAAUGUAAGGUGGUAUCCUGGAUGGAAUCUCAGAAGAGAAAAGGGAUAUUAGGUAAAAAUUGAGAAAACUAAAUAAAGUAUGGCCUUUUGUUAGUAAGAAUCAGUAUUGAUCCAUUAUGACCGACGCACAACACUGAGUUAAGGUGUUAAUAGAGGAAACUGGGUGAGGGGCGUAUAGGAAUUCUCUGUAGUAUCAAGUAUCAUCACAGUUUUUCUGUAAGACUAAACUAUCCUAACAUUAAAAGUUUAUUAAAAUAAACCUAAUUAGAAAAUAGGCAAAACACUUGCAAUAUAUUUCACAGAAGAGAAUAUACAGAUGGCAAAUUAGCACAUGAAAAGAUAUUCAACAUCAUUAACCAUUAGAGAAAUGCAAGUUAAACAACAAUGACAUAUCAAAACACACCUAUCAUUAUGGCCAAAAUAAAAAAUAGUGAUAAUACCAAAUACUGGCACAGAUACAGAGAAACUCAUACAUUGCCUGUAAGAAUGUAAAAUGGUAUAGCCACUCCAGAAAAAUAUGGCAGUUUCUUUAAGGAUUAUAUGUGCAACUAAAAUAUGACCCAGAAUUGCACUCACAGGCAUUAUUUCAUUUCAUAAGAAAUAAAAACUCUUUUUUUUUAGACAGAGUCUCGCUGUGUCGUCAGGCUGGAGUGCAGUGGUGCAAUCUCAGCUCACUCCAACCUCUGACUCCCUGGUUCAAGCGAUUCUCCCAAGUAGCUGGAAUUACAGGCACGCGCCACCACACCCAGCUAAUUUUUGUAUUUUUAGUAGAGACGGGGUUUCACCAUGUUGGCCAGGAUGGUCUUGAUCUCCUGACCUCGUGAUCUGCCCGCCUCAGCCUCCCAAAGUGCUGGGAUUACAGGCGUGAGCCACCGCGCCCCGCCAAUAAAUAAACACUUAUAUCCACACAAAAACCUGUACAAGAAUGUACACAGAAGCUUCAUUCAACAGCCAAAACCUGGGAACAACCCAGAUGUCCUUCAAUAGGUGGAUGCUUAAACAAACUAUAGCACAUCCAUACUACAGAUAACUACAUAGGAAUAAAAAAAGAACAAUUGGCUGGGCACAGUGGCUCAUGUCUGUAAUCCCAGUAUAUUGGGAGGCCAGGAUGGGAGGAUCCCUUGAGCCCAGGAGUUCGAGACCAGCCUGGGCAACAUAGUGAGACCCCAAAUCUAUAAAAAAUUAGCCAGGAGUCGGCUGGGUGUGGUGGCUCACGCCUGUAAUCCCAGUACUUUGGGAGGCUGAGGUGGGCAGAUCACCUGAGGUCGGGAGUUUGAGAUCAGCCUGACCGACAUGGAGAAACUCUGUCUCUACUAAAAAUACAAAAAAUUAGCCGGGCAUGGUGGUGCAUGCCUGUAAUUCCAGCUACUUAGGAGGCUGAGGCAGAAGAGUCGCUUGAACUCGGGAGGCGGACGGAGGUUGUGGUGAGCCGAGAUCGUGCCAUUGCACUCCAGCCUGGGCAACAAGAGCGAAACUCUGUCUCAAAAAAAAAAAAUUAGCCAGGAGUAGUAGUGCACACCUGUAGUCCCAGCUACUCAGGAGGCUGAGGUGGGAGGAUCACUUGAGCCCAGGAGUUUAAGACCACCCUGGGCAACAUGGUGAGAUCUCAAAUCCACAAAAAAUUGUUAAAAAUUAGCCAGGAGUGGUGGUGCACGCCUAUAGUCCUACCUACUCAGGAGGCUGGGGUGGGAGGACCGCUUGACCCCAGGCGGUUCAGUCUGUGGUGAGCUGAAAUCACACCAUGGCACUCCAGCCAGGGUAACAGAGCAAGACUCUGUCUCAAAAAAAAUAAAUAAAUAAAAUAAAUAAUGAUUUAUACAGAAAACAAUUGAGAUGAAUCUCAAGAUAAUUAUGCUGAUCGAAAAAAAAAAAAGUCAAGUCUCUAAAGGCUUACAUUCUGUAUGAUUUUACUUACAUAACAUUCCUGAAAUGACAAAAUUUAGAAAUGAAGAACAGACUAGUAGUUGCCAGGGUUUUAGUGUAGGGGGAGAGGGGAAUCAUGUAGUUAUAAAAAGGUCAACAGGAGGGAUAAACAGCAGUGAUGCAUCUUUAUAUCAAUUUCAGUAUCCCGGUUGUAACUUUGCAGUAAAGUUUUACAUUUUACCCACCAAGGGAAACUGGGUAAAGGGUACAUGAAAUCUCUGCAGUACCUUUUUUUUUUUUUUUUUUUUUUAAAGACAGUUGCCCAGGCUGGAGGGCAGUGGCACCAUCAUGACUCACUGUAACCUUGCACUCCUGGGCUUAAGUGAUCCUCCUGCCUCGGUCUCCUGAGUAGCUGGGACUACAGGCACAUGCCACAUAACGCCUGGCUAAUUUUUAAAUUUUUUUGUACAGACGGGGUCUCACUAUGCUGCUCACACAUGUAAGCCACUGUGCCUGGCCUCUGUAUUAUUUCUUAAACUGCAUGUAAAUCUACAAGUACCUCAAAAACUAUAAUGUAAAAUAUACAGCGAAGUACAGUGGCUCACACCUGUAAUCCCAGCACUUUGGGAGGCUGAGGUGAGCGAAUUGCUUGAGCUCAGGAAUUCGAGACCAGCCUGGGCAACAUGGCAAAACCCCCAUCUCUAAAAAAAAAUACAAAAAUUAGCCAGACGUGGUGGAAUGCACUUGUAGUCCCAGCCAUUUGAGAGGCUGAGGUGGGAGGAUUGCCUGAGCCUGAGAGGCAGAGCUUGCAGUGAGCUGAGAUCAUGCCACUGCACUACAGCCUGGGUAAUAGAGUGAGAUUCUGUCUCAAACAAUCAACCAACCAACCAAACAAACCAAAAACAGUACUCCUAGUUAAAUUUGAAUUUCAGAUAACAAAUCAUCUUUUAGUAUAUGUAUUUCCCAAACAUUGCAUGGAUCAUAUUGAUAUUAAAAAUGAUUUAUUGUUUGAAAUUCAAAUUUAACUGGGAAUUCUGUAUUUCAUCUGUCAAUUCUACUCUUGGUCUUAGCCAAUUUUGGAAAUAUAUAUUGCAAAAUAAAAGGACAUUUAGGGGUUGGCUGAGAGAAAAUGUGCCAUGAUCCCAGAAGCACCUAAAUCCUCACUCGCAGCUGGUCCUUACUCUGCCUUCCACUUAUCAUGACAAAUGUGGUCACUACUCCCCAUGAGAAAAGCCAGAAUGUAAAACCUUCCUGUUUUCAUAUAAGAGUGAAAAUCAUGCAGCUAGCCUCCUCUUCCCAAUUUCAGACUUAAAAUAGCUAUCCGCUCCAAGAAAGAUUAUAAAAAAGUAAUUAAGCAGAAUAGUCAAGAAACAUUUUCUAAAGGUAAUUUUGGCACCUGUAAUCCCACAACUUUGGGAGGCCGAGAUGGGAGAAUCAUUUGGAGCCAGGAGUUCGAGAUCAGCCUGACCAAUAUGGCAAAACCCCAUCUCUACUAAAAAUACAAAAAUUAGCUGGGCGCAAUGUCACACGCAUGUAAUCCCAGCUACAAGGGAGGCUGAGGCACAAGAAUCGCUUGAACCCAGGAGGCAGAGGUUGCAGUGAGCCAAAAUUUCACUACUACAUUCCAGCCCGGGUGACACAGCAGGACUGCGUCUCAAAAAAAUAAUAAUAAAAAUAAUUUUGGGUCUCUAGAGUAACAAAACCAUACUUCAAAGAAUACAAGGCCAGGCAUGGUGGCUUAUGCCUGGAAUCCCAGCAUUUUGGGAGGCUGAGAUGGGUAGAUCACUUAAGCCCAGGAGUUCAAGACCAGCCUGGGCCACAUGGCAAAACCUCAUCUCUAUAAAAAAUACAAAAAUUAGCUGAGUGUGGUGACGCAUGGCUGUAGUCCCAGGUACUGGGCAGGCUAGGGUACAAUCAAUUGAGCCUGGGAGGUUGAGGCUGCAGCAAGCUAGGAUCACACCAUUGCACUCUAGCCUAGGCUAUGGUAUAAAACCCUGUCUCCAAAAUAAAAUAAAUACACACACACACACACACACACGAACACACAAGCAAGAACAGGCGUGGUGGCUCAUGCCUGUAAUCCCAGCACUUUGGGAGGCCGAGGAGGGGGGAUCACCUGAGGUCAGGAGUUUGAGACCAGCUGACCAACAUGGAGAAACCCCGUCUCUACUAAAAAUACAAAAUUAGCCGGGUGUGGUGGCACAUGCCUGUAAUCCCAGCUACUGAGGAGGCUGAGACAGGAGAAUCUCUUGAACCCGGAAGGCGGAGGUUGCAGUGAGCAGAGAUCAUGCCAUUGCACUCCAGCCUGGGCAACAAGAGUGAAACUCCAUCUCAAAAAAAAAAAAAAAAAAAAAAACAAAAAAAACGGAUAUCUGAGAAAUACCUCUAACGUGAUAAUGUGAUAAUGACAAAGACUAAAAGAAAAAAGCAAUUUUGAGGAAAUCCAUUAUUCGAAAGAAGAAAACACCAAGAAAUCAUCAUUAAUAUCCUCAGAGAUACAAGAUGCUCCAACUGUAAACAAAAGCAGAAUCUCAUAAAGGAACCCAGCAAACAAAAAUAUCCUUGGAAGUUAAAAAUAUGAUAGGGCCAGGCGCAGUGGUUCAUGUCUGUAAUCCUAACACUUUUGGAGACUGAGGCAGGAGGAUCACUUGAGGUCAGGAAUUCAGGACCAGGACCAGCCUGGGCAAUAUAGUCAGAUCCUGUCUCUAAAAAAAUGGUGUGUGUGUGUGUGUGUGUGUUUUGAGACGGACUCUCACUGUGUCGCCAGGCUGGAGUGCAGUGGCGCGAUCUCAGCUCACUGCAACCUCCGCCUCCUGGGUUCAAGUGAUUCUCAUGCCUCAGCCUGAGUAGCUGGGAUUACAGGCAUGUGCUACCAUACCCAGCUAAUUUUUAUAUUUUUAGUAGAGACGGGGUUUCACCAUGUUGGCCAGGCUGGUCUCGAACCCCUGACCUCAUAAUCCACCCGCCUCGGCCUCCCAAAGUGCUGGGAUUACAGGAGUGAGCCACUGCAACUGGCCAAAAGUUUGUUUUUUUGGUUGUUUGUUUUGAGAUGGAGUCUCGCUCUGUCGCCCAGGCUGGAGUGCAGUGGUGCGAUUUCAGCUCAACUGCAAGCCCGCCUCCCGGGUUCACAUCAUUCUCCUGCCUCAGCCUCCCCAGUAGCUGGGACUACAGGUGUCUGCCAGCACACCUGGCUAAUUUUUUGUAUUUUUAGUAGAGAUGGGGUUUCACCAUGUUAGCCAGGAUGGUCUCGAUCUCCUGACCUUGUGAUCCUCCCGCCUCGGCCUCCCAAAGUGCUGGGAUUACAGGCGUGAGCCAUCACGCCCAGCCAAUUUUUUUUUUUUUUUUUAAUGAUAGAAGAGGCUGGGCAUGGUGGCUUAUGCCUAUAAUCCCAGUACUUUGGGAGGUGGAGGUGGGUGGAUCACUUGAGGUCAGGAGUUCAAGAUCAGCCUAGCAAACAGGGUGAAACCACAUCUCUACUAAAAAUACAAAAAAUUAGCCAGCGUAGUGGUGGGUCCCCAUAGUCCCAGCUACUCGGGAGUCCAAGGCAGGAGAAUUGCUUGAACCUGGGAGUUGGAGGUUGCAGUGAGCUGAGAUCACACCACUGCACUCCAGCCUGGGUGACCGAGUGACAGUCUUUCUAAAAAAAAAACCAAAAAAAAAGAUGGAAGAAAUGUAAGACACAAUGUUUUAGAAGUCAGAAGAAAAAGUUCGCCAGGCAUGGUAGCUCAUGCCUGUAAUCUUAGCACUUUGGGAAGGCAAAGUGGGUGUAUCGCUUGAGCUCAGGAUUUCAAAACCAGCCUGGGCAACUUAGCAAAACCCUGUCUCUACAAAAAAAUACAAAAAAAAUUAGCCAGUUGUGACGGUGUGCACCUGUAACCCAGCUACUCAGGAGGCUGAGGCAGGAUGAUCAACUGAACCAGGAAGGCAGAGGUUGCAGUGAGCAGAGAUUGUGCCCCUGAACUCCAGCCUGGAUGACAGAAUGAGACCCUGUCACACAGAAAAUAAAAAUAAAAAGUGAUAAAGUUGUAUAAAUCUCCUACAAAGUACCACAAAAAGGCAAAACAUUAAAAAAAAAACAAACAAACAGAAAACAUAAGAAAAUUAAAGAACCAGUCUAUGAGGCCUACAGUCAAAACAGUAGUAAUUCUAGAAAGUAUUAACAGAGAAGACUGGGAUGGAGGAAAGAGGGAAAUUAACAAACAAACAAAAAAUCAAAAAAUUUCACAGGACUUAAUGGUAUGAGUUGCCAGAAUGAAAUGGCCCCAGCAAAACGGAUAAAAAUGGACCUAAACCAAAGCUAUUCUUAGGAAAUUUCAGAACAAAUGGGGCCCCCCCAAAAAUUCUAUAAGCUUCUAGAGAAAAAUAUCAGGUUUUAUACAAAGGAUCUUGAAUCAGAAUGGCAUAUGCUUCUCAACAGCAAUUCUGGAAUCUACAAGACAAUAUAACAAUGCCUUCAAAAUCCUUAAGAUAAUCAUUUCCUAGAAUUCUAUACCCAGCCAAACUAUCAAUCCAUUGGCUAGGUGGAACAGACAUUUUCAAAUAUGCAAGAUCAAAAUAAAUUAUUUCCCAUGCACCCUUUUCCAGGAAGCACCUGGAGAAUAUGCUCCACCAAAUGACGGAAUAAACAAAAAGAGAAAGACAUAGGAUACAAAAAACAGAAAACCAAAAGAAGAGACAAAAAGAAUCCACAGCAUGACCCUAUGUACUAUGCCAGGAACAUACUAGUUUUCCAGUCAGAAGGGUUCAGGAUAGACUCUUCAGAAGUUUGAAAUUGAUAAAAUAUUUAUAUAUAUAUAUUAUAUAUAUUUAUAUUAUAUAUAUUUUAAAUAUA
rnacentral:lncRNA from 10 species